rnacentral:sRNA from 1 species
UGCAAAGGUUACUGGAUCUGAUGAAUCCGU